AUUGAACGCUGGCGGAAUGCUUUACACAUGCAAGUCGAACGGCAGCACGGACUUCGGUCUGGUGGCGAGUGGCGAACGGGUGAGUAAUAUAUCGGAACGUGCCCAGUCGUGGGGGAUAACGUAGCGAAAGUUACGCUAAUACCGCAUACGAUCUACGGAUGAAAGCGGGGGAUCGCAAGACCUCGCGCGAUUGGAGCGGCCGAUAUCAGAUUAGGUAGUUGGUGGGGUAAAGGCUCACCAAGCCAACGAUCUGUAACUGGUCUGAGAGGACGAACCGGCACACGGGAUCUGAGACACGGUACAAACACCUGGGGGAGGCAGCAGUGGGGAAUUUUGGGCAAGGGACGCGAGUCGAAUCCAGCCAUUCCGCGUGCAGGAUGAAGGCCCUCGGGUUGUAGACUGCUUUUGGACAGAACGAAGAGGCUCUCCCUAAUACGGAGGGCUCAUGACGGUACUUUAAGAAUAAGCACCGGCUAACUACGUGCCAGCAGCCGCCGUAA
rnacentral:rRNA from 1 species